rnacentral:rRNA from 1 species
GACGAACCGUGCGAACGUUAUUCGGAAUCAUUGGGCUUAAAGGGCGCGUAGGCGGCGAUAUAAGUUGGAAGUGAAAUCCCAUCGGCUCACCCGUGGAAUAGCUCCCAGUACUGUAUCGCUCGAGGGGGAUAGGGGUCUGCGGAACUACCGGUGGAGCGGUGAAAUGUGUUGAUAUCGGUGGGAACGCCAGUGGCGAAAGCGGCAGACUUGACCCUUCCUGACGCUGAGUGCGCGAAAGCUAGGGGAGCAAACGGG